rnacentral:rRNA from 1 species
CGUGGGUAACCUGCCCAAGAGAUCGGGAUAACACCUGGAAACAGAUGCUAAUACCGGAUAACAAUAGAUGAUGCCUAUCAACUGUUUAAAAGAUGGUUCUGCUAUCACUCUUGGAUGGACCUGCGGUGCAUUAGCUAGUUGGUAGGGUAACGGCCUACCAAGGCGAUGAUACAUAGCCGAGUUGAGAGACUGAUCGGCCACAUUGGGACUGAGACACGGCCCAAACUCCUACGGGAGGCAGCAGGC